rnacentral:rRNA from 1 species
CCUACGGGUGGCAGCAGUGAGGAAUAUUGGUCAAUGGGCGGAAGCCUGAACCAGCCAAGUAGCGUGCAGGAUGACGGCCCUACGGGUUGUAAACUGCUUUUAUACGGGAAUAACGCGCCUUACGUGUAGGGCUUUGCAUGUACCGUAUGAAUAAGGACCGGCUAAUUCCGUGCCAGCAGCCGCGGUAAUACGGAAGGUCCGGGCGUUAUCCGGAUUUAUUGGGUUUAAAGGGUGCGCAGGCGGGCCUUUAAGCCGGCGGUGAAAUCGCGGGGCUCAACCCCGCCGAGCCGUCGGAACUGGGGGCCUUGAGUGCGGCGGAGGCAUGCGGAAUGCGCGGUGUAGCGGUGAAAUGCAUAGAUAUCGCGCAGAACCCCGAUUGCGAAGGCAGCGUGCCGUGCCGCCACUGACGCUGAGGCACGAAAGCGCGGGGAUCGAACAGGAUUAGAUACCCCGGUAGUC